rnacentral:rRNA from 1 species
UACAGGGGGAGCAAGCGUUGUUCGGAUUUACUGGGCGUAAAGGGCGCGUAGGCGGCCACCGCAAGUCGACUGUGAAAUCUCCGGGCUUAACUCGGAAACUGCCGUUGAUACUCUCUGUCUUGAAUACCGUGGAGGUGAGCGGAAUAUGUCAUGUAGCGGUGAAAUGCUUAGAUAUGACAUAGAACACCAAUUGCGAAGGCAGCUCACUACACGAAUAUUGACUCUGAGGCACGAAAGCGUGGGGAUCAAACAGG